rnacentral:rRNA from 1 species
UACGGGCAGACUAGAGUGUGGUAGGGGAGACUGGAAUUCCUGGUGUAGCGGUGAAAUGCGCAGAUAUCAGGAGGAACACCGAUGGCGAAGGCAGGUCUCUGGGCCACUACUGACGCUGAGAAGCGAAAGCAUGGGGAGCGAACAGGAUUAGAUACCCUGGUAGUCCAUGCCGUAAACGUUGGGCGCUAGGUGUGGGACUCAUUCCACGAGUUCCGUGCCGCAGCUAACGCAUUAAGCGCCCCGCCUGGGGAGUACGGCCGCAAGGCUAAAACUCAAAGGAAUUGACGGGGGCCCGCACAAGCGGCGGAGCAUGCGGAUUAAUUCGAUGCAACGCGAAGAACCUUACCAAGGCUUGACAUAUACCGGAAACUUCCAGAGAUGGUUGCCCCCUUUGGGUCGGUAUACAGGUGGUGCAUGGUUGUCGUCAGCUCGUGUCGUGAGAUGUUGGGUUAAGUCCCGCAACGAGCGCAACCCUCGUUCUAUGUUGCCAGCACGUCAUGGUGGGGACUCAUGGAAGACUGCCGGGGUCAACUCGGAGGAAGGUGGGGAUGACGUCAAAUCAUCAUGCCCCUUAUGUCUUGGGCUUCACGCAUGCUACAAUGGCCGGUACAAAGGGCUGCGAUACCGCAAGGUGGAGCGAAUCCCAAAAAACCGGUCUCAGUUCGGAUUGGGGUCUGCAACUCGACCCCAUGAAGUCGGAGUCGCUAGUAAUCGCAGAUCAGCAACGCU